rnacentral:tRNA from 1 species
AAAACUGAAAAGGAGAUUUAAUAAUUUAAUUUUAAUAAUUAUACUAUGUACCUUUUGUAUAAUGGUUUUA